rnacentral:rRNA from 1 species
GACGAACGCUGGCGGCGUGCUUAACACAUGCAAGUCGAACGAUGAACCCGGAGCUUGCUCCGGCGGAUUAGUAGCGAACGGGUGAGUAACACGUGAGUAACCUGCCCUUGACUCUGGGAUAACUGCUAGAAAUGGUAGCUAAUACCGGAUACGACCCUCGGUGGCAUCACCAGGGGGUGGAAAGAAUUUCGGUCAAGGAUGGACUCGCGGCCUAUCAGCUAGUUGGUGAGGUAACGGCUCACCAAGGCGACGACGGGUAGCGGGCCUGAGAGGGUGACCGGCCACACUGGGACUGAGACACGGCCCAGACUCCUACGGGAGGCAGCAGUGGGGAAUAUUGCACAAUGGGCGCAAGCCUGAUGCAGCAACGCCGCGUGAGGGAUGACGGCCUUCGGGUUGUAAACCUCUUUUAGUAGGGAAGAAGCGAAAGUGACGGUACCUGCAGAAAAAGCACCGGCUAACUACGUGCCAGCAGCCGCAGUAA